rnacentral:lncRNA from 1 species
CAUUGGUCAAAGUCAUUCUGUUGAUAAAUAUUUGUCUUUUACCUUCAAAUUAAUCAUGUGUGCCCAUUUCUCUGUGACCACAGACUAAAAAGAAAACAGUUUCAAAGAUGAACAGAAACAUUAUCAUAGUCCUUCUUCUGAUUAUAGGUAAGUUCAUUCUCUAGUCUUUAAAUUGUAGAUCAUUAUGAAAUUCUAAAAGAUAUUCUAAAAUCUAUGCUUUUUUAUUUGCAACAGCAUCAGGGAAUGCCCAAAGCCCAACAACGAAUGCCCCCACAACCACAGCUGCCACCACAACACUGCUGCCGGUCACAACAACCACAGCUGCUUCGACUACAACAACAGCAGCAACCACCACAAUCACAGGAGCUGCCAUCACAACCCCUACUGCUCCUACUACAUCCAUAUCUCCUGUCAUGACAACCACAGAUGCUCCAACUACAACCACAAAUGGAGUCACAACAUCCACAGUUUCUCCCACAACAAUCACAGCUGCUGCCACAACAACCACAGAUGCUCCAACUACAACCACAGCUACUGCUGCAACACCAACCACAGCUGCUGCCACGACAACCACAGAUGCUCCAACUACAACAACAAAUGGAGUCACAACCACAGUUUCGCCCAAAACAACCACAGGUGCUGCUACGGUCACCACAGCAGGCAUCACAACUACCACAGAUUCUCAUUCAACAACCACAGCUGCUCCAACUACAACCACAGCUACUGCGGCAACACCAACCACAACUGCUGCCACGACAACCACAGAUGCUCCAAUUACAACAACAAAUGGAGUCACAACAACCACAGUUUUUCCCACAACAACCACAGCUGCUUUCACAACAACCACAGGUGCUGCAACCACAACCACAGCUGCCCCCACGACCACCACAGCUGGCAUGACAACUACCACAAUUCCGGUCACAACAACCACAGCUGCUUCGACUACAACAACUGCAGCAACCACCACAAUCACAGGAGCUGCCACCACAACCACUACUGCUCCUACUACAACCACAGCUCAUGUCACGACAACCACAGAUGCUCCAACUACAACCACAAAUGGAGUCACAACAUCCACAGUUUCUCCCACAACAACAACAGCUGCUUUCACAACAACCACAGGUGCUGCAACCACAACCACAGCUGCCCCUACGACCACCACAGCUGGCAUGACAACUUCCACAAUUCCGGUCACAACAACCACAGCUUCUUCGACUUCAACAACAGCAGCAACCACCACAAUCACAGGAGCUGCCACCACAACCACUACUGCUCCUACUACAUCAAUAGCUCCUGUCAUGACAACCACAGAUGCUCCAACUACAACCACAAAUGGUGUCACAACAUCCACAGUUUCUCCCACAACAACCACAGCUGCUGCCACAACAACCACAAGUGCUGCCACCACAACCACAGGUGCCGCCACGGUCACCACAGCAGGCAUCACAGCUACCACAGUUGCUCAUUCAACAUCCACAGCUGCUCCAACUACAACCUCAACUACGUCAAUGAUGACCACCACAGCUCCUGCCAUGACAACGACACCUGCAACUGCUGGAGCAGCCACCUUAACCACAGUUGCUGUCAUGACAACCACAGAUAAUCCAACUACAACCACAAAUGGAGUCACAACAUCCACAGUUUCUCCCACAACAACCACAGUUUCUCCCACAACAACCACAGGUGCUGCCACCACAACCACAGGUGCUGCUACGGUCACCACAGCAGGCAUCACAACUACCACAAUUGCUCAAUCAACAACCACAGCUGCUCCAACUACAACCUCAACUACGUCCAUGGUGACCACCACAGUUCCUGCCAUGACAACGACACCUGCAACGGCUGCCGCUGCAACCACAACCACAGUUGCUGCAACAAUGACCACAGGUGCUCCAACUACAACAACAGCUACUGCUGCAACCACAACCACAGCUGCACCCACGGCCACCACAGCUGGCAAGACAACUACCACAAUUCCGGUCACAACAACCACAGCUGCUUCGACUGCAACAACUGCAGCAACCACCACAAUCACAGGAGCUGCCACCACAACCACUACUGCUCCUACUACAACCACAGCUCAUGUCACGACAACCACAGAUGCUCCAACUACAACCACAAAUGGAGUCACAACAUCCACAGUUUCUCCCACAACAAUCACAGCUGCUGCCACAACAACCACAGAUGCUCCAACUACAACAACAAAUGGAGUCACAACCACAGUUUCUCCCACAACAACCACAGGUGCUGCUACGGUCACCACAGCAGGCAUCACAACUACCACAGAUUCUCAUUCAACAACCACAGCUGCUCCAACUACAACCACAGCUACUGCUGCAACACCAACCACAGCUGCUUCCACGACAACCACAGAUGCUCCAAUUACAACAACAAAUGGAGUCACAACAACCACAGUUUUUCCCACAACAACCACAGCUGCUUUCACAACAACCACAGGUGCUGCAACCACAACCACAGCUGCCCCCACGACCACCACAGCUGGCAUGACGACUACCACAAUUCCGGUCACAACAACCACAGCUGCUUCGACUACAACAACUGCAGGAACCACCACAAUCACAGGAGCUGCCACCACAACCACUACUGCUCCUACUACAACCACAGCUCAUGUCACGACAACCACAGAUGCUCCAACUACAACCACAAAUGGAGUCACAACAUCCACAGUUUCUCCCACAACAACAACAGCUGCUUUCACAACAACCACAGGUGCUGCAACCACAACCACAGCUGCCCCUACGACCACCACAGCUGGCAUGACAACUUCCACAAUUCCGGUCACAACAACCACAGCUUCUUCGACUUCAACAACAGCAGCAACCACCACAAUCACAGGAGCUGCCACCACAACCACUACUGCUCCUACUACAUCAAUCGCUCCUGUCAUGACAACCACAGAUGCUCCAACUACAACCACAAAUGGUGUCACAACAUCCACAGUUUCUCCCACAACAACCACAGCUGCUGCCACAACAACCACAAGUGCUGCCACCACAACCACAGGUGCCGCCACGGUCACCACAGCAGGCAUCACAGCUACCACAGUUGCUCAUUCAACAUCCACAGCUGCUCCAACUACAACCUCAACUACGUCAAUGAUGACCACCACAGCUCCUGCCAUGACAACGACACCUGCAACUGCUGGAGCAGCCACCUUAACCAUAGUUGCUGUCAUGACAACCACAGAUAAUCCAACUACAACCACAAAUGGAGUCACAACAUCCACAGUUUCUCCCACAACAACCACAGUUUCUCCCACAACAACCACAGGUGCUGCCACCACAACCACAGGUGCUGCUACGGUCACCACAGCAGGCAUCACAACUACCACAGUUGCUCAAUCAACAACCACAGCUGCUCCAACUACAACCUCAACUACGUCCAUGGUGACCACCACAGUUCCUGCCAUGACAAUGACACCUGCAACGGCUGCCGCUGCAACCACAACCACAGUUGCUGCAACAAUGACCACAGGUGCUCCAACUACAACAACAGCUACUGCUGCAACCACAACCACAGCUGCCCCCACGGCCACCACAGCUGGCAAGACAACUACCACAAUUCCGGUCACAACAACCACAGCUGCUUCGACUUCAACAACAGCAGCAACCACCACAAUCACAGGAGCUGCCACCACAACCACUACUGCUCCUACUACAACCACAGCUCAUGUCACGACAACCACAGAUGCUCCAACUACAACCACAAAUGGAGUCACAACAUCCACAGUUUCUCCCACAACAACCACAGCUGCUGCCACAGCAACCACAGAUGCUCCAACUACAACAACAAAUGGAGUCACAACAACCACAGUUUCUUCCACAACAACCACAGGUGCUGCCACCACAACCACAGGUGCCGCCGCCACAACCACAGGUUCCUCCACCACAACCACAGGUACCGCCACGGUCACCACAGCAGGCAUCACAACUACCACAGUUGCUCAUUCAACAACCACAGCUACUCCAUUUACAACCUCAACUACGUCCACAGAUGCUCUAACUACAAACACUGUUGGCGUUGCAAAAACCACAGCUUCACCAACUACAACUACAGCUGCUUCCUCUACAACCACAGCUGCUGCCACUUCAACCACAACAGCUGCUCCCACAACUACAGCUGCCACCACAAUAACCACAGAUUCUCUAACUACAAACACAGCUACUGCCACAUCAACAACUUAUCCAACUACAACCACAGUAGCUUCCUCUGCAACCACACCUUCUGCCACAACAACUAUACCUGCUGCCACUAUUACCACAGCUGUUCAAACUGCAACCAACGCAGCAGCCAACACAACCACAGCAGCUGCCACAACAACCAUAGUUGCUGCCACGACAACCACAGCAUCUCCAACUACAAUCACAGCUGACAAAACAACAACCACAUCUUCUGCCCCAACAACUACAGCUGCUUCCUCUACAACCACAGCUGCCUCCUCUACAACCACAGCUGCUUCCUCUACAACCACAGCUGCUUCUUCUACAACCACAGCCGCUUCCUCUACAACCACAGCUGCUUCCUCUACAACCACAGCUGCUUCCUCUACAACCACAACUGCUUCCUCUACAACCACAACUGCUUCCUCUACAACCACAGCUGCUUCCUCUACAACCACAGUUGCUGCCGCAACAACUAUACCUGCUCCCACAACAACCACAGCAGAUGCCACCACAACCACAGCUGCUCCAUCUACAUCCGGAAAUGCCCUCACAACAACCACAGAUGCUCCAACCACAACAGACACAAACACAACCACAGCUGCUGCCACGGCAACAACUGCUUCUCCAACUAGAACCACAGCUGCUUCCACUACAACCACAGCUGCUUCCACUACAGCCAUAGGUGCUGCAACGACAACCACAGCAGCUGCCCCUACAACAACAGCUGCUCCAACUACAACCACAAAUGCCCCCACCACAUCCACAGCUGGCAACAGGACUACCACAGUUGCUACUACAACAGGCACAGCUGCGUCUACAACAGCCAGAGCUACUACAGCAAUAGCUGCCACUACCACCACUGCUGCUGGAACGAAUACCACAACUGCUUCGACUACAGCCACAACUUCUGCGACGACAACCACAGCUGCUGCCACAAACACCACUGUACCAACAACAACCAAAAUUGUUCCCACAACCACCACAGCCACCGCUACCACAACUACGUCAACAGCGGCACCGACAGCGAAUGAGGGGUCAAUGGGAUUAGGAUUCAGAAUGAUCCGUGCAUUCCAAAGUGACUAUACUGAUUCUUCCACAGCAGCAUAUCAGGAACUGGCAGAAAAUGUUACCACAGAGGUGAAUCAUGGUUACAAAAGAAUUUACCCUUUAACAUACGUAAGGUGUAGGAUUAUUCAGUUCACGUAAGUAACAAUAAUUGUUUUCUGUAAGUCUGUGAAUCUCUCCAUUCAAAUAGAAUUAUCUUGAAAUAACAGUGAUAUAAGUUUGAAUAAUAUAUUAAGAAAACAAAUACAAAUAAUUACCAUACAUUGUCUUGUUUUCUUAAUACUUUCUUGGAAACAAUGGUUUUAGUCCGUCAUUGGAAAUAAGAAUUUGUUCUUAACUGACUUGCCUAGUUGAAUAAAGGUAAAAAAAAAAAAAAAAAAGAUCUGACCUCGAAAUGAAAACUAAAUCUUUCUAUAUUUCAUUGUUUACAGGAGAGGGUCAAUUAUUGUCAACAUGACCCUUAUUUUCAAAAACCAGACAGUGGUUCCCAAUGUAACGAGUGUGGAGCAGGGAUUGAAUGACUCUCUGUCUCACGGGAACACCUUCCUCGACAUUGAUACAACCUCCAUUACUGCAAGUAAGUCAAGCCAUCACUGCUGACCUUGUCAUUGUCGUCACUCUCAACAUUGACUCAUGGCACUCUAUAUUGGGUACAUUUUUAUGAGAUAACUUCUGUGGUGUUACAGGAACUACAACUUCUGCAGCCACCACAUUUGCCGCAACUACCACAGCCACCCCCACAACAACAAAAACAGCUGGUCCUACACCAAACACAGCUGCUUCAACAACAUCUGUUGUUGAAUCAACAAUAAACAAUGCUGCCGCCUCCAGUGGAAUAACCUACAAGACAAGUCUACUCAUCUGUCUUGUUAUGUUGUCACAACUGCUUGACUAAUACUGAUAUAACUGAUCACCACUAUGACAGGGAAACUUACCAACAAUGUAAUCAUAUUUAUUAUUAGAACUGUAUACAAUCUAUUGAACAGCUUGAGGAUAAUGUAAAAAAAAAGAUAACUGUUCUACCAAUUAUCAACAGGAUUUUAAGAAUCUUGAUAGUUAUUCCUUCUACUUACUGUACUAAUACUUAUUGUAACUGAAUGGUGUAUUUAUACUGUUUUGUAAUUCACUAUUACUCAUACUUUGAAUGAAGAAAAUGCUGGUUUCGUUUUCUGUACCGGAUUAAUGAAGAAAUUAAAUGAAAUGCAAUCCAUUACCUGAAAAGACGUUCACUUCCCUUAAGUUACAUUUCAAUAAUUAUUAUUGUGUGCCAACUGCAUCUGUUAUGUCUUGUUCACAUACAACAUAAACACCACUUUAUUUCUAUGAUAGGAAUGAGAUAUGAAUAUCAGAAGAUCGAUUUCAAGCCGAACAGGACAUUUGUUUACAAUGGCAACAACACCAAAAAGACACUGGCUAUGAUAAGUUUGGACAGUAAUCGCAGAAAGGGCAUUUCUAAAUUCAUGAAUAUCUGAAGGUAUAUUUCAUAGGUCGAAAUUCAUUAAAAUAUUAGACUGGCUGUAAUAUGUUACUGGGUGUUUGUGAAGUGAAAUAUGUUGUCAACACACUUUAAAAAUGGGAUAAACAAGAUUAGUCCUUUCAGAUAUAAUUUUUUGUUCCGCUUACCUAUCUCAUUGUUCAUCUCCUAUAGUCUUGAGGGAGGGCUUUGAACACACCUCAACCAUUUUUUUGUCACCCUGAUUUCGCCAAUUGUGUAUCUAUGUAUUUCUCUGCUAGAGUUGAAGUAUUAGAGAGAGGCCUUACAGACAUUAUAAAACCAGUGUAUCUCUCAUGUACACAAAACUGUGUCACAUAUCACAUCAAGGCAGAAAGAUUAACAUAUUUUGGUGGCAAAUAAAGGCCUAAGCACAAAAAAGGUUCAUGCUAUGCUAACUGAAUGGUGAUCUGAGAGUAUGUUGUUAAUUUAUAGGUAAUUUAACUUCAGGCUCUUUGUAGAAGGUAUCAACCUCAGAAAAAUAACCAUGAAGGGACUUUCAACCUCAACCCAUCCAUUAAAAAUACCAUGCCUAAAUAUAAUUAUUUGCAGACUUGAUUGAAUUGAUACAGGACUUGGUAAAUAUUCUUCAUUCAUUAGUGAGAGGGAACUACAACGCACAAGGCAAUGUUUAAUAG